rnacentral:rRNA from 1 species
UGUUGUAGAGAUACAGCAGCCGCUUGCGGUCUGUAUACAGGUGCUGCAUGGCUGUCGUCAGCUCGUGCUGUGAAGUGUUGGGUUAAGUCCCGCAACGAGCGCAACCCUUGUCCUUAGUUACCAGCACGUUAUGGUGGGCACUCUAAGGAGACUGCCGGUGACAAACCGGAGGAAGGUGGGGAUGACGUCAAGUCAUCAUGGCCCUUACGGCCUGGGCUACACACGUGCUACAAUGGUCGGUACAAAGGGUUGCCAAGCCGCGAGGUGGAGCUAAUCCCAUAAAACCGAUCGUAGUCCGGAUCGCAGUCUGCAACUCGACUGCGUGAAGUCGGAAUCGCUAGUAAUCGUGAAUCAGAAUGUCACGGUGAAUACGUUCCCGGGCCUU